CCUACGGGGGACUGCAGUGGGGAAUAUUGGGCAAUGGGCGCAAGCCUGACCCAGCAACGCCGCGUGAAGGAAGAAGGCUUUCGGGUUGUAAACUUCUUUUCUCAGGGACGAAGCAAGUGACGGUACCUGAGGAAUAAGCCACGGCUAACUACGUGCCAGCAGCCGCGGUAAUACGUAGGUGGCAAGCGUUAUCCGGAUUUACUGGGUGUAAAGGGCGUGUAGGCGGGAAAGCAAGUCAGAUGGUAAAACCAUGGGCUCAACCUGUGGCCUGCAUUUGAAACUGUUUUUCUUGAGUGCUGGAGAGGCAGACGGAAUUCCUGGUGUAGCGGUGAAAUGCGUAGAUAUUAGGAGGAACACCGGUGGCGAAGGCGGUCUGCUGGACAGCAACUGACGCUGAGGCGCGAAAGCGUGGGGAGCAAACAGGAUUAGAUACCCCGGUAGUC
rnacentral:rRNA from 1 species